rnacentral:antisense_RNA from 1 species
AUACAAAAUACUCAAAAACAUAAAUGUUUUUUAAGGUAGUCGCACACAAACUUUGGUAGGGGCGUGGGCGACUUCUUUUUUUAUUUUGUU